rnacentral:rRNA from 1 species
UACAGAGGUCUCGAGCGUUAGGCGGAAUCACUGGGCUUAAAGCGUGUGUAGGUGGAUCGUUAAGUACCUUGUGAAAUCCCACGGCUUAACCGUGGAACUGCUUGGUAUACUGGCGGUCUUGAGCCACUUAGGGGCUACCGGAACAAAUGGUGGAGCGGUGAAAUGCGUAGAUAUCAUUUGGAACGCCAACGGUGAAAACAGCUCGCUGGGGGUGUGCUGACGCUGAGACACGAAAGCCAGGGUAGCGAACGGG